rnacentral:tRNA from 1 species
GUUUCUGUAGUGUAGUCAUCAUCAUGUUUGCCUAACACGCAAAAGGUCCUCGGUUCAAAAUCGGGCAGAAACA